rnacentral:rRNA from 1 species
UACAGAGGGGGCAAGCGUUAUUCGGAAUUAUUGGGCGUAAAGGGCGCGUAGGCGGCCAUUCAAGUGACGGGUGAAAUCCCUCGGCUUAACCGAGGAACUGCCUGUCAGACUGGAUGGCUUGAGACCGGGAGAGGUGAGUGGAAUUCCCAGUGUAGCGGUGAAAUGCGUAGAUAUUGGGAGGAACACCAGUGGCGAAGGCGGCUCACUGGACCGGAACUGACGCUGAGGCGCGAAAGCGUGGGGAGCAAACAGGAUUAGAUACCCCCGUAGUCC